ACUGCUCAGUAACACGUAUAGGAAUUGGCGGGGGAGCACAUACGGCUCAGUAACACGUGGCUAAUCUGCCCUUGGGACAAGAACAACCCCGGGAAACUGGGGCUAAUUCUUGAUAGGCGAAGAACUCUGGAAUGAGUCUUCACCCAAUAGAUUCAAAGUUAUGCUCUUUGAAUCGCCCAAGGAUGAGGCCGCGACCGAUCAGGUUGUUGGUGAGGUAAUGGCUCACCAAGCCUUUUACCGGUGCGGGCCGUGAGAGCGGGAGCCCGGAGAUGGGCACUGAGACAAGGGCCCAGGCCCUACGGGGCGCAGCAGUCGCGAAAACUUUGCAAUAAGCGAAAGCUUGACAGGGCUAUCCCGAGUGCCAUCCGCUGAGGAAGGCUUUUACCCAGUCUAGAACGCUGGGGGAAUAGGGAGAGGGCAAGUCUGGUGUCAGCCGCCGCGGUAAUACCAGCUCUCCGAGUGGUGUGGAUGUUUAUUGGGCCUAAAGCAUCCGUAGCUGGCUAAGUUAGUCCCUUGUUAAAUCCACCGAAUUAAUCGUUGGAUUGCGGGGGAUACUGCUUGGCUAGGGAACGAGAGAGGCAGACGGUAUUUCCGGGGUAGGGGUGAAAUCCUAUAAUCCCGGGAAGACCACCAGUGGCGAAGGCUGUCUGCUAGAACGCGUCCGACGGUGAGGGAUGAAAGCUGGGGGAGCGAACCGGAUUAGAUACCCGGGUAGUCCCAGCUGUAAACGAUGCAGGCUAGGUGUUUGGACGGCCACGUGCCGUUCUAGUGCCGCAGGGAAGCUGUUAAGCCUGCCGCCUGGGGAGUACGAUCGCAAGAUUGAAACUUAAAGGAAUUGGCGGGGGAGCAC
rnacentral:rRNA from 1 species